rnacentral:misc_RNA from 1 species
UUUCGCAUUGUUUUUUCGCUCAGACUCAUUGCAAGUAAGAUUUUAAAAGCCUCUGGCGGGCGCUCGCCAGCCGGGGCCGGCGGCAGCAGGGCCGCGGCCCGCCAAAGCAACAAUGUUGGUAGUCAAGGGGUGGAGAUGGCUCCCGGAGGAGUCGCAACUCUGUAAUGAUCCUUCCGCAGGUUCACCUACGAAAA